GAUCUCUAUUUUUUACAAAGUUUACUAAACGAUCGUAUAUAAAUUCGAAGGCGACAAAAAUUCGGCAUAAUCACUAUAGACGCAAAGCAUUCAUCAUGAAAUCUGCCAAAGUAUUUCUACUAAUAGCAAUGAUAGCAGUUAUGCUAUUAUCAGUUGCCGCCCAGAACGGUUUCGGACGCCCGGGCAGCAACAGUGGUUUCGGCGGACGACCCUCAGGUAGCCGACCAAACUUUGGCGGCAGACCUGGUUCUGGAAACAGCGGAUGGUUUGGAGGCACCAGGCCCGGCCCCAACGGACCGGGGACUGGAUUUGAAUAUUAAUAUCUGAAAAUACGGGCUUGUGAUUUGAUUUUAUGUAAACAUACUAUAGGAAUAUAUUUACUCUAAUUAUCGUAAUAAAAAAGUGCAAUCAGUUAACGCUACCAUUAUUUCUCUAUACAUAGACACCAUGUAUGUUUUAUCCUAUGAGCUUUAAUAAAUACUGCGAUUCGACAACAAACAAAUAAAUAAUAAGCAUUUUCUUCAAAUUACGAGUGACGACGCCUUUCAUAAAUAGGUUUCAUCCGCAUGCAUUGACGAAUUGCGUGUAAAUAUUAAUUGUAAAUGUGCUAAGUACCGUGAAAGUGUUAAGAAUUAAUUAAAUUGUUUUUAGUAUAUAAUUGCUACUUUAAAGUUACGCACGCAAAUCACAUUGCUAUUAUCUUAUUCAUGUAACAUCGCCCUCUUGUUUUAAAACCUUGUCCAUUGUGCAAUAUAUACUCAAUUAUGUACUCAUCUCUUGCGAAAUAUCUUCAUUUUGGCUUUCACUUGACAAAUUAACUUCUUAGAUGGUUUCGCAUUAUUUUCUUAUAAGUAAUAUAGUUUUUAUCCAAGUGUUUUCACUUAAUUAACUUUUCACAUUUUAAUUUCGAUUUUGACGCUACUGUCUCAAUUUCUGUUCAUUUAAUAAUUUUAAGUAGUAUAUAAUUUAUAAUAAUUGCAGUUAAGAUUUAAUGAUUUUAUUCGCGUUAUCGAAUUCUCUAGACAGAUGAGUAAACAUAGUCGCAUGACAUACUUGUGAUAAAAUAUCCGGAAUAUUAUUUGGAUACCAAAAUAAAUAUUAGCAGUUACAAGUUAGAAGUUCUCAAACAUUGUCAAUAGCGAUAAUAUGAAUUGAAAUAGCGUAGAUAAUAUGAAUUCGCCGACUGCCAUAUAUGAAACUGCGUAGGUACUACGAAUUCUGCAAAUUGAUAUAACAUCAUGCCAUAUGUCUUAGGAGUAAGCAGAGGUCCAUCAAAAUAUCAUCAUGUUAACAAUUGGCAAAUCACAAUGAAUAGGUCACCAACACUGCGGCAUAUUUUAUUUGAAUCAUUAGAAUUCAAUAAGAAAUGUGCCUUGCAUUAUUUAUUAUAAUAGCUAUAUUAACGCCUUGAUUGAAUAAAGUACCAAUUUUCGAUGAUUUCUAAAACUUUCUCGAAUUUUCAAGGAAAAGAUAUCUCGACUAUUCAUAAAACCUGCACAAAAUUGAUCAAUAUUAUUAACAAUACUUAAAAAUGUAUAUAAUCGCAGUUUGAGAUCAACUGAUUUCAUCGCUUCUCGGAAAACGAAUGUAAAUAUUCCAUAUAUAGAGACAUAGGUAUAGAGGUAUGUACUACGUAUUACUUCAAUGUCUAAAGCAAACAAAAGGCACAAAAAGAUCAAGCAUCGUCUAAUACACACGUACUGACUUAUGCAUAUAAUGGGAAUCUUCAAGUUCACACUUAUAGUAUCUGCACUGACCUUGUUAGUCCCUGAUGUAAGCGCCUAUUAUCGCGGCGGCUACGGAGGCUACUAUAACGGUUUUAACGUCUUGGGAAAUGGAAGUCCAAGUUUUGGAGGUGGAUAUAGACAACUUGGCCACAAUGGCAUCGCUUAUGAAGCAGCAUCGGGUCUCAGUGGAAUCGGUCAUGGCGGCCAUACUCUGAGCGGUUUGAAUACCAAUUUAAACAACAUCAAUCGAGGCAUUGAAGGUACAUAUUAUAGACAAAAUAACCUCGCUCAUGGGGCAGCUCCAGGCCUCAGUGGUUUUGGCCAAAAUCAUUACGGCCUUAGUGGAUUCGGCCCAGGCGGCCAUAGUCUGAGCGGUUUUCGACAAAGAAAGCACAGACUAAGCGGUUUUGGCCCGGGACCUUUUGAACAAAACGAUUUUAGGCAGUACUAUAGAAAUGGUUACCGCCGUUAAAGGAAUUUAUCGAGAAACGCCCCCAUUAAAGUAAUAUGGCGCUGACGUCGUACAAUGUUUUAUAGAGUUUUGUAUCGGGAAAGGUGUUCCACGCAAACGAAGGCACGAGUGGGCAUGGCAAAGUGACGCCACUGCACCUAAUGGUAAACGGACUGGGGUCCAAUAGAAUUUUGACUUACGAGAGAUGAUUACCCCUCGACAGUCGACACAAUUAUGCCGGCCUGUUGGAAUCGAAUAUACACAGGCUGAUCCCAGGACGCGACACACUGACGUGGGCCACUAUGCUCGGUUUUAACAUCUUACGGAACCAUGGCAGGCGUAAAACUUCUUUUUACAAUUAUCGUCAUAGCAAUGGUGAUAUCGACUUGCAAAGGGGGUAUUUUAGAAAAUAUAUUCCAAUACAUCUUCCAGCAAGCGACGGGCAAGCGCAGUAUCUCAGAAGCCAUCACGGAUUACCUCGACGUGGCAUUUCCUAAGGACGAUAA
rnacentral:misc_RNA from 1 species